AAAAGUUCUAAGUUUAAAGCAAUUUAUUUUUAAUUCAAUAUUUUAUUGCAAAUUUGGACAGACAUUUUAAUAGCUUUAGUUUGGUUUUCACACAAACAUAUUUCCUUUCAGUAAGCCUUAUUUGUUGUAUAGAGAUUACGUAAGAAGUUUUCGGACAAUGGUCAGAAUGUGUUGACAGAUAUGAUUUUUAAAGUGAAGCCGACAUGUAAUAAGAUGUAUUUCGGAUUAUUUCUAUUAUUAAUGUCCGGCUCAAAUAUGGUAUAAAGUAAACAUUGAUAGCAAGAUUACAUAAAUAAUUAAGAUAUUUUUUAGUCAUAAGUGUCACCUAUCACCCCACC
rnacentral:lncRNA from 1 species